rnacentral:rRNA from 1 species
UACGUAGGGGGGCGAGCGUUGUCCGGAAUCAUUGGGCGUAAAGAGCUCGUAGGCGGUUCAGUAAGUCAGGUGUGAAAGCUCCGAGCUCAACUCGGAGAGGCCACCUGAUACUGCUGUGACUAGAACUCCAGGUAGGGAGGUGUGGAACUCCUGGUGUAGCGGUGAAAUGCGCAGAUAUCAGGAAGAACACCAGCGGCGAAGGCGGCACUCUGGGCUGGAAUUGACGCUGAGGAGCGAAAGUGUGGGUAGCAAACAGG